GACGUAGGGCGCAAGCGUUGUCCGGAUUUAUUGGGCGUAAAGAGCUCGUAGGCGGCUUGUUGCGUCGACCGUGAAAACCCGUGGCUCAACUGGGGAGGGUCAUUCGAUACUGGUUCGACUCGAAGGCAGGAGAGGGAAGUGGGAUUCCCGGUGUAGUGGUGAAAUGCGUAGAUAUCGGGAGGAACACCAGUGGCGAAGGCGACUUCCUGGCCUGUUCUUGACGCUGAGGCGCGAAAGCUAGGGGAGCAAACGGG
rnacentral:rRNA from 1 species